UUGAAUCCUAUUCUUUUAUGUUCACAGUUAUGGUUAUUCCAAAGAAAGAUUUGUUUGGUCCUUCAUAUCUGUUGAUGGUAUCUUUUGUCUUGGUUCUGGUGCUACAAUCGUUCAUAGCAUUCAAAACUUGUGCACUUCUCAGGAUGGUGCUACAGUAACAGGUAUGCUCAUUGCUGCUGCAUCAUUGGUUGCGGUGAAUACCACAGGAAACGCAAUUUAUGAUCUCAUUGGUUCAAUUAUAGUGGGCAACGUUCUUAGAAUGGAAGCCAUGGAGAUGAUGGUUGCUUGCUCUGCAAUGGCUUUAGCAAAAAGGGAACAAUUAAAAGGAGGAGAUAACCAAUCACCAGACAGCUUUUGAUACAAGUGGAAUUGUGGAGGUAUAAUAAGUGCAACUGUAUUAACCGGAGGAACCUUGAUGGCAAUUAUUGGUGGUUUGACAUAUUCAGCUCAGGCUUUUGAAUAUUUUAAAUGCAAUUGGCCAAUAAGCUUCUAAUGACAUGAGUAUUUUUUCCUGAUGAAUUCAUAUUUUAUUGGCAACAGGGUUAACUGCUACAGUUUUUGCCACGGGUUUAGGUGCCUUAGCACAUACAUUGAGCACCCUUGCCCUUGUGAUAGGAGCAAGCGGGUUUGCUAUAAAAACUGUUGUCGGUAGUUUUGGAUAAUCUCUGAAUAGUUUGGAUAUAUUUAGAAACCUAGAUGCAUAGUUUUUGGAUGAUUUAAACUUUUUGGACAGUUUAGAACUUAAAAGUAUAGUUUUUGAAUGUUUGGAAUGUAUAGACAAUUGUUGAAUGUUCAUAAUUUAUGGAUAUAGUUUCCUUUUUAUGCUUGAAACAAU